rnacentral:rRNA from 1 species
UACAGAGGGUGCGAGCGUUGUCCGGAAUCACUGGGCGUAAAGGGCGCGUAGGUGGCGACCCAAGUCGAUGGUGAAAGCUCGCCGCUCAACGGCGAGUCGGCCACCGAUACUGGGUUGCUGGAGCACUGUAGAGGCUCAUGGAAUUCCGGGUGUAGCGGUGGAAUGCGUAGAGAUCCGGAAGAACACCGGUGGCGAAGGCGGUGAGCUGGGCAGUUG